rnacentral:rRNA from 1 species
UUUGGGGUGGCUCGAGUGGCGAACGGGUGAGUAACACGUGAGUAACCUGCCCUUGACUUUGGGAUAACUUCAGGAAACUGGGGCUAAUACCGGAUAGGAGCUCCUGCUGCAUGGUGGGGGUUGGGAAAGUUUCGGCGGUUGGGGAUGGACUCGCGGCUUAUCAGCUUGUUGGUGGGGUAGUGGCUUACCAAGGCUUUGACGGGUAGCCGGCCUGAGAGGGUGACCGGCCACAUUGGGACUGAGAUACGGCCCAG